rnacentral:rRNA from 1 species
UACGAAGGGGGCUAGCGUUGCUCGGAAUCACUGGGCGUAAAGCGCACGUAGGCGGCUUUCUAAGUCAGGGGUGAAAUCCUGGAGCUCAACUCCAGAACUGCCUUUGAUACUGGAGAGCUCGAGUCCGGAAGAGGUGAGUGGAACUCCGAGUGUAGAGGUGAAAUUCGUAGAUAUUCGGAAGAACACCAGUGGCGAAGGCGACAUACUGGCUCACUACUGACGCUGAGGCUCGAAAGCGUGGGGAGCAAACAGG